UUUUAUCGACUGUCGGCGGGCGGCCAGUGCGACUCUAACUUACUUGACCGCGGGAUGCGAUUUUUGCACCGCCGAAUUUCCCUGUUGAAAACGUCGUCUUCUACGCCGUUAACAGCCGUUACCGUCUGGCGGCAAAUUUGACCACACCGAACACCAUACGCUCAUCAUUUACUGUUGGCUGAGCUCGUCGUCCCCCGCGGGGAGACAUUCUUGCGGUCCGCCGCCGCCACUGAGUCUGGCCGGCAGGAGAGGUGUUUUUCCAUCCAUUGCAAUGCAAGAAGUGCAAAGAGCCAAAGCCAAACGAAUGGCGAAAAAAGAAAAUAGUAAAAUUGAACGACAAAAAUCAGUUGAAGCAGUUAACAAGAAUAAAACAGUAGUCAAAACUCCAAGCUUAGAUUGUAAAAAAAUCGAAAAAUGAACCCAAAUCUAUGCAUUUUUAUUUGAAAGAUUUUAUUCAUCUUUAGCAUAUUAACACAUGCGAUGACGUCAAUAAAUACAAAUCAAAACACAUGUAGCUGUUGAACCACUAUUCAGAAUCUACACAAGUAUACAUUGAAAUUAGUCACUUUUUAAUUGUAAACCAUUUUAUUUAUUAUUGUAAAACAAUUUACCACGCCGCUUCACAAUUUUGAAUCAUCACCCCUUUUUUUUUUUUUUUUUUACAAGCAAUUCAAUUAUGUUUAUACAAAGUAUAACUAUACAAUUUACUAAAAUAUUUUUAUCAACUAGAAAGAUAGUGUAUAUAGUAUUGAUUAUGCAUGCAUUUAAUAUAACAUAAGCUCAAGUAAAGAAAUUUGUUAGUGCAUUAUAAUACAUUUAAAUGUCGCGUGAAAUACAUCUACUAUGGCGUGAAAGUAAUUGAUAUGAAUGGAAAAAAAUGAAUAAAAAAUAUUAAUAAAACACGUUUUUAAAUUUC